GUAAAUAAUUAAGGGCGUAUGGUGGAUGCCUAGGCUCUCAGAGGCGAUGAAGGACGUGAUAAGCUGCGAAAAGCUCCGUUUAGGUGCAAAUAACCUUUGAUGCGGAGAUCUCCGAAUGGGAUAACCCAAUAUGUUGAAGACAUAUUAUACCGUAAGGUAGGCAAACGCAGGGAACUGAAACAUCUAAGUACCUGCAGGAGAAGAAAACAAACGUGAUUCCCCCAGUAGCGGCGAGCGACCGGGGAAAAGCCCAAACCGUUAUUGUUUCGGCAUUAACGGGGUAGUAGGACUGCGACAUUGAUGAAAUAAAUGAAAUGGAACACCUUGGAAAAUGUGAUCACAGAGGGUGAUAAUCCCGUACAUGCAAGUUUAUGAAUCAUAGCAGACUCCUGAGUAAGUCGGGACACGUGUAAUCCUGACCGAAUCCGCCGGGACCAUCCGGCAAGGCUAAAUACUCCUGAGAGACCGAUAGUGAACCAGUACCGUGAGGGAAAGGUGAAAAGCACUUCGAACAGAAGAGUGAAAUAGUCCCUGAACCCAUACGCCUACAAGCAGUCGGAGCCGCUUCGUGCGGUGACGGCGUGCCUUUUGCAUAAUGAGCCUACGAGUUACUCAUCACCAGCGAGGUUAAGUACUUCAGGUACGUAAGCCGAAGCGAAAGCGAGUCUGAAUAGGGCGUCAAGUUGGUGGUGGUAGACGCGAAACCUUAGUGAUCUACCCAUGGGCAGGGUGAAGGUUUGGUAACACAAACUGGAGGCCCGAACCGGUAAACGUUGAAAAGUUUUCGGAUGACCUGUGGGUAGGGGUGAAAGGCCAAUCAAACUGGGAAAUAGCUCGUACUCUCCGAAAUGCAUUUAGGUGCAGCCUCUGUUGUUUUGUUCUAGAGGUAGAGCUACUGAUUGGAUGCGAGGGCUUCACCGCCUAUCAAAUCCGGCCAAACUCCGAAUGCUAGAACAUGAAGACAGGGAGUGAGCCAGCGGGUGCUAAGGUCCGUUGACGAAAGAGGGAGAACUCAGACCAUCAGCUAAGGUCCCCAAUUGUAUGCUAAGUUGGAAUUAAAACGGGGUGGGACUGCUUAGACAGCUAGGAUGUUGGCUUGGAAGCAGCCAUUCAUUUAAAGAGUGCGUAACAGCUCACUAGUCGAGCGGUCCUGCAUGGAUAAUACGCGGGCAUAAGCAUAUAACCGAAGCUAUGGGAUUGUAGAUGAUACAAUCGGUAGGAGAGCAUUCCAUUCAGCAUAGAAGCAGUAUCGUGAGGUAUUGUGGAGCGGAUGGAAAAGCAAAUGUAGGCAUAAGUAACGAUAAUGCGGGUGAGAACCCCGCACGCCGAAAGAUCAAGGAUUCCCCGGCAAUGUCAAUCAUCCGGGGGUAAGUCGGAUCCUAAGGGUAAGCCGAGUGGCGAUCCCGAUGGCAAACAGGUUAAUAUUCCUGUACUGAUCAUAACUGCGAUGCAGCGACGCAGAGGUGACACUGCUGCGUACUGACGGAAUAGUACGUUGAAACCCGUAUUCUUUGAUACCGGUAGUGAAGCACGCCGGUAGAGAUGAAAGGUGAUAGUACCGCAAUGCUUCGGUUGCGCGGAUAACGCAGGUAAGCUGACUGCCAAGAAAACCUGCUAAGCUUCAGGUAAUGAUCAUCCGUACUGUAAACGGACACACGUGAUCAGGUAGAAAAUACUAAGGCGCUCGAGAGAUUCAUGGUUAAGGAACUAGGCAAAAUGGUCCUGUAACUUCGGGAUAAAGGACGCUCUUGUGAAAGAGCCGCAGAUAAUAGGCCCAGGCGACUGUUUACCAAAAACACAUGGCUAUGCUAAUUCGCAAGAAGAUGUAUAUGGCCUGACACCUGCCCGGUGCCGGAAGGUUAAGAGGAGAGCUCAGAGGCAACUCGAAGGUUUGAAUUGAAGCCCCGGUAAACGGCGGCCGUAACUAUAACGGUCCUAAGGUAGCGAAAUUCCUUGUCGGGU
rnacentral:rRNA from 1 species